UUCAACGUCAGCCACCACCAGUUCCAU
rnacentral:piRNA from 1 species